rnacentral:rRNA from 1 species
GAUGGACGCUGGCGGCGUGCCUAAUACAUGCAAGUCUAGCGAACAGACGAAGAUCUUGCUCCUCUCACGUUAGCUGCGGACGUGUGAUUAACGAGAGUAUAACCUACCUGUAAUACUGGGAUAACUUCGAGAAACCUGCGCAAAUACCGGAUAAGAUAUUGAACCGCAUGGUUCCAUAGUGAAAGACGGUUUUUCUGUCACUUAUCGACGGAUCCCCGCCGCAUUAGCUAGUUGGUCAGGUACCAGCUUAACAAGACAACGAUGAGUAGCCGACGGGAGAGGGGGAUAGGCCACAUGGGAACGGAGACACGCUCCAGACUCCUACGGGAGGGAGCAGUAGGGAACCUGCCGCAAUGGUCGCAAGCCUGACGCAGAAACGCGGCGUGAGUGAUGAAGGUGCUCGGAUCGUAACACUCUCUUAUUAGUGAAGAACCAAUGUGUCAGUAAAUAUGCACGUCUUGACGGUACCUAAUCAGAAAGCAACGGCUAACUACGUG